CUUUUCAGAGAAAAUGCAGUGUUUACAUUACAGCCUAGUGAUAACUUCACUGGCCACUCCUCAGAUGGCUGUUAGAGAUCCUUCCUGGGUCAUGGCUGCCUAAAAUGCAUCCAAACAUUCAGUAUCCCCUCCCUCUGCAUGCAGACACUGAACUUUCCUCAUAGAGAUUCAUUGAUUCAAUUCAUCUCUAUGAGGAGAUGCUGCUUGGCCAGGGCUGUGUUUGAAUCAUGCUGGCUCUGCCCCUGAUCUGCCUCUUUGUCAGUUUCAGCCAAUCCUAUGGGGAAACACUGUGAUUGGAUCAGGCCACCACUUCCGAUGAUGUCAUUAGACUGCUUGUUUUUCUGAG